GACGAACGCUGGCGGCGUGCUUAACACAUGCAAGUCGAACGGUAAGGCCUUCGGGUACACGAGUGGCGAACGGGUGAGUAACACGUGGGUGAUCUGCCCUGCACUUUGGGAUAAGCCUGGGAAACUGGGUCUAAUACCGAAUAGGACUACGGCCUGCAUGGGUUGUGGUGGAAAGCUUUUGCGGGGUGGGAUGGGCCCGCGGCCUAUCAGCUUGUUGGUGAGGUCACGGCUCACCAAGGCGACGACGGGUAGCCGGCCUGAGAGGGUGACCGGCCACACUGGGACUGAGAUACGGCCCAGACUCCUACGGGAGGCAGCAGUGGGGAAUAUUGCACAAUGGGCGCAAGCCUGAUGCAGCGACGCCGCGUGAGGGAUGACGGCCUUCGGGUUGUAAACCUCUUUCAGUAGGGACGAAGCGCAAGUGACGGUACCCAUAGAAGAAGGACCGGCCAACUACGUGCCAGCCGCCGCGGUAA
rnacentral:rRNA from 1 species